UGAGGAAUAUUGGGCAAUGCCCGAAAGGGUGACCCAGCAACGCCGCGUGGAGGAUGAAGGUCGUAAGAUUGUAAACUCCUGUUAGAGGGGAAGAAUAACUAAGUUUGGAGCUUAGUAUGACUGUACCCUCAGAGAAAGCCCCGGCUAACUACGUGCCAGCAGCCGCGGUAAUACGUAGGGGGCAAGCGUUGUCCGGAUUUACUGGGUGUAAAGGGCGCGCAGGCGGAAUGGAAAGUCAGUGGUGAAAUCCUACAGCUUAACUGUAGAACUGCCUUUGAUACUUUCAUUCUUGAGUUCGGGAGAGAGAGACGGAAUUCCAGGUGUAGUGGUGAAAUACGUAGAUAUCUGGAAGAACACCAGUUGCGAAGGCGGUCUCUUGGUCCGAUACUGACGCUGAGGCGCGAAAGCGUGGGGA
rnacentral:rRNA from 1 species